CUGUCUGUGCGAUGCUUUUGCCGGGAACAUAUCAGGAAUGCAAGCCUUCCAACUCCUCUGAAGUUAGGGUGACUGACUUUCAGUGCUGGAAAUGCAGUAACUGCUCCUUCCAUCUUUGCUCCAGCCACAGAAGUAUGCACCUGCUUUUUAUUUACUUCCCGAGGAGCUGGCUGCUCCGGGUGGCUGGAUGAAUUGAACAGGCCUCACUGUCAUGUGGUAACCCACCCAGAGUGGUUGUGUGGUUGCCGCUUGAUGAUAAUAGCCUUCUCCUCCUUUUAUCCUGAUUCUGCUGUAAAUCUUCAUGUGGCAGGAGCAGAAGUAUGGCUAGAUUAUUUAACUGUGGCGUGGAUGCACGGAGUGAGUGCUGUUAGGAACUGGUUCCACUCUCUGGCAUCAAGUGAACCCAAUCCCCCAAGUUUGAAAAUCUUGGAGGGUCCUCUUAGAAGUCAGACAGAAGCCACAGAUUCACUGAGGAGCUCGGGAGGGAGAGUGAAUAAUGGAAGGUGAUGUCUGCUGGGGGAGAUAUUGGUGGUGGGAAUAGGAGUGGCUGCUAUUGAUUUUGAUUUUUACUUUUCUUUAAGACGUGUUUUGAGUCUUGUUGUUCCUUCUCCUUCCCAUCCAGCCUGGGAUAGCCGAUCGUGCUGCUUCCACCCCAGAGUCAGCUCCCUUCCACCUGAUCUGUAUUUUUACUAUAUGGCAAAGGCACCCAGAGCAUUGGAUAGGUGCCUCCUCUUAAUGCCUAUAUAAAUCUAAAUAAGUACAGCUUCUCUGUUCUGCCCAGAAGCACAUUGGCAGUAUGGGGAACCCAGCCCUGAUCAGAGGGGAUCCUCCCUGCUCUGCCUGCUGCAUAUGGCCGCUGCUCCAUAUGGUGCUGAUGUCUGAUCCAUCACACAGAGGGCUGGAAUGCUACUGGGGCAUUCCUUGCAAAGAUGGACAGACAUUCUUGGAUGGGGACCGACUCUCUGGGAUUAUACGAUAGCUUUGCCUGUGUCAGGCGAGAGGAUGAUGCUGGACUCAGCAUGUGGCUGAAGAACCACAAUCCUGGUGGAAAAUAUCAGAUCCCAGAGAGCUUGUGAAAGAUACAGUGGGCACCAUCUCCUCUCAAACUCUGGACUCCCAUGAUCUUUCUCAGUCUCUUUUAAAGCUCUCAAGCCCUAAGUGAACCUAUAAUUAAAGCCAGUGGAAACAUUUCCGAGACAGGAAGGCCCUGAUCCUCUCAUGGGAUAAUUCCCCUUUGUGCCUCUCCCCCAGUGAAAACCAGAUUAAAACCCAGCCACGCUCCCUCUUCCCCAGUAACAUCUACCGUGCAGCUCCUACAUCACCUCCCUCUUUCAGCCCACAGCAUAGUGCGCAUCACUGGGGGAUGGCCCGGGCAUCCCUAACCCCAAGCAAUCUCUGGCUGUCAAAAUGCCCCUUUGGGAGCAUAGGAACCCAGUGUAAUGUGCUGCAGACUUCAAUCUUACUGUGCUGGGCUCGUCAUGGCUCCCCUGUUCUCUCCUCUCUUCUGCCUUGGCCUGAGAUGGAAGUUUGUUUAGUUUCUUGCUCUAACAAAUUAAACACACACACACACACACGCACUUAUCCAUGACAGUAAUAUUUGGCACUUCUAUAGCAUCUCCCAGCCCGGGCUGUCAAAGGACGUAUGGACAUAGAUGAAGAACUUGGACUCCUAACCCAAGGAGAGCUAGACAAAUGUCUAUUCUCCCCUUCGUACAGGUGCGGGGAAAUGAUGCCUACAGAAGUUCAGUGGCUUGCCAGAGAUUUCAUGGUGAGUCAGCAGACCUAGGAAUAGAAUCUGUGUUGCAUUGAACCAUGCUUUAACCACAGGACUUUCUCUCCUUCCCUGUAGUUGUGCAUAAACCCACUAACUCUCCAUCCACUAUCACAUCAAAUUCCAGCUUUCUGUCACCCCAGUAAACCUCUUCAUCACUCCACCCACCCCUGCUCUCCUCCCUUGCCAAGUUAUACAUGGCCUCCUCCUUCUCUGCUCAGUCAAUGUUCCCAUCCUCUCCCACCUGUCUGUCAUUUCUCCAUCCACACUGCCCCUACGUACUUCCACACUGCCCCCUAUGCAGGAUGUGACCUUCCUGAACUUAUCCACAUGCAGACCCUCUUGAAGGUCCACGUCUGCUGUGCUGCUUAUAGCGAAGGGAGCAGAUUUGUAUACAAAGGGCUUAGGACUUAUCUACACGAUGCAGCAAGGCAAGGUGCGACUCUACAGCGCUCUAGCCAGCUGUACACUAACUAGCCGUGUGAACCCUGCUACUGUACAUUAAAAGUUCCAUGGCACACUUUGCUGUGUUUCUAUUUCAAAUGCUGCAGGCUAGUGAGCUGUAGAUUCACACACCAGCUCGCCUCAAGCUGAGAAGCA